rnacentral:rRNA from 1 species
GACGAACCGUGCGAACGUUAUUCGGAAUCAUUGGGCUUAAAGGGCGCGUAGGCGGCGGUGUAAGUUGGAAGUGAAAUCCCAUCGGCUCAACCGUGGAAUCGCUCCCAGUACUGCAUCGCUCGAGGGGGGUAGGGGCGUGCGGAACUGUGGGUGGAGCGGUGAAAUGCGCAGAUAUCAGGAGGAACACCAAUGGCGAAGGCAGCACUCUGGGACGUGACUGACGCUGAGACGCGAAAUCGUGGGGAGCAAACAGG